rnacentral:lncRNA from 1 species
GAUUUUUAACUUUGCAUUAUCACUGGUUCCUUAUCUUCUUCCCCACAGCCACAUUUAUAAUACUUGUAAGUUGUACCUAGCUAGCUAUAUUAUAAUACCACCAAACCCAGCAAGCAAACAGACAUAUUUUCCCCAAUAAUUCUUCUUUGCUUCUCCCACUUUCUUUAGCCUUUACCUCCCCUUCUCCAUUGGGAAUCGCGAGCAGACACUGAUGUGGAGAAGAAAAACAACUUAUUGCAUAUUAUAAAUGAAUAAAAAAUUAUAUUAAUUUAAUGACAAAUGGUCCCCUAUUCGAUCUCUCUCUCUCUCUCCCUCUCUGUGCAUGAUUUUCAUAAUUUUCAUAAUUUCAGAUUGGAUGGUUUUGCAGUUUUGUGGCAGCACCAAUUGGGCAAAUCAGACAGUCAAAGAGCAUCUUGUGCACUUGUUUGGGUUCCAAGUUUGGUGUUUGUUCAUUUUCAAAAUGGUGGCCACUUUCAGUCUUUUGAAGGAAAAGGGUGUGGAGAAGGGACUUUGGUCCAGCAGAGGCAGAGCAGACUUCAUUUACUGUUGCUCAAGGUUUUGCAUCUUUGGAGAUGUAUGCAUCAUGACACCCUUGGUGAUCUAACGGGCUGGUUUUUGUCAAAAACACCAAAUAUUGGGCUUUGCACACAUCGGAGUUUGUGUUGUAUUAUCUCUCUAAAUUUAUGAGUGCUGCUCUUUUCA